rfam:Vibrio caribbeanicus ATCC BAA-2122 VIBC2010_48, whole genome shotgun sequence.
UAAUCGCCAUAACUCCGAAUUCUAUCGACUAAGUUCAUGAGAAUAUGUGUCUAGAAUCAGUGACAAACUGUCACGAAGGCAUGGUUGGAAAUGACCAUGCCUCCUGUGUUUGGAAAGGUGUUGAAUGGCACAACAA